rnacentral:rRNA from 1 species
AAAUUGAAGAGUUUGAUCAUGGCUCAGAUUGAACGCUGGCGGCAGGCCUAACACAUGCAAGUCGAGCGGAAACGAGUUAUCAGAACCUUCGGGGGACGAUAACGGCGUCGAGCGGCGGACGGGUGAGUAAUGCCUAGGAAAUUGCCCUGAUGUGGGGGAUAACCAUUGGAAACGAUGGCUAAUACCGCAUGAUGCCUACGGGCCAAAGAGGGGGACCUUCGGGCCUCUCGCGUCAGGAUAUGCCUAGGUGGGAUUAGCUAGUUGGUGAGGUAAGGGCUCACCAAGGCGACGAUCCCUAGCUGGUCUGAGAGGAUGAUCAGCCACACUGGAACUGAGACACGGUCCAGACUCCUACGGGAGGCAGCAGUGGGGAAUAUUGCACAAUGGGCGCAAGCCUGAUGCAGCCAUGCCGCGUGUGUGAAGAAGGCCUUCGGGUUGUAAAGCACUUUCAGUCGUGAGGAAGGUAGUGUAGUUAAUAGCUGCAUUAUUUGACGUUAGCGACAGAAGAAGCACCGGCUAACUCCGUGCCAGCAGCCGCGGUAAUACGGAGGGUGCGAGCGUUAAUCGGAAUUACUGGGCGUAAAGCGCAUGCAGGUGGUUUGUUAAGUCAGAUGUGAAAGCCCGGGGCUCAACCUCGGAAUUGCAUUUGAAACUGGCAGACUAGAGUACUGUAGAGGGGGGUAGGAAUUUCAGGUGUAGCGGUGAAAUGCGUAGAGAUCUGAAGGAAUACCGGUGGCGAAGGCGGCCCCCUGGACAGAUACUGACACUCAGAUGCGAAAGCGUGGGGAGCAAACAGGAUUAGAUACCCUGGUAGUCCACGCCGUAAACGAUGUCUACUUGGAGGUUGUGGCCUUGAGCCGUGGCUUUCGGAGCUAACGCGUUAAGUAGACCGCCUGGGGAGUACGGUCGCAAGAUUAAAACUCAAAUGAAUUGACGGGGGCCCGCACAAGCGGUGGAGCAUGUGGUUUAAUUCGAUGCAACGCGAAGAACCUUACCUACUCUUGACAUCCAGAGAACUUUCCAGAGAUGGAUUGGUGCCUUCGGGAACUCUGAGACAGGUGCUGCAUGGCUGUCGUCAGCUCGUGUUGUGAAAUGUUGGGUUAAGUCCCGCAACGAGCGCAACCCUUAUCCUUGUUUGCCAGCGAGUAAUGUCGGGAACUCCAGGGAGACUGCCGGUGAUAAACCGGAGGAAGGUGGGGACGACGUCAAGUCAUCAUGGCCCUUACGAGUAGGGCUACACACGUGCUACAAUGGCGCAUACAGAGGGCAGCCAACUUGCGAAAGUGAGCGAAUCCCAAAAAGUGCGUCGUAGUCCGGAUUGGAGUCUGCAACUCGACUCCAUGAAGUCGGAAUCGCUAGUAAUCGUGGAUCAGAAUGCCACGGUGAAUACGUUCCCGGGCCUUGUACACACCGCCCGUCACACCAUGGGAGUGGGCUGCAAAAGAAGUAGGUAGUUUAACCUUCGGGGGGACGCUUACCACUUUGUGGUUCAUGACUGGGGUGAAGUCGUAACAAGGUAGCGCUAGGGGAACCUGGCGCUGGAUCACCUCCUUAAACGAUGAU